rnacentral:lncRNA from 1 species
UCAAUUCAGAAUUCCAGUGUAAACCUUCUAAGGAUUCCCAAUAAUGAUAUUGGCUCAAGAUUUGUAGUUAAGAAUGGCAAACCCAUCAAGAGCAGGCAUGUACCUACUGAAAUAACAAACUACACUCUCUGGACAGAAGGGGGCUCUCAAGUAGAGUCAGCUUUCAUGUAACUACCCUCCAGAAACUUCCUGUUCCUUACAAACUGAAUAUCCAGUCUUGCUACAGACCAGAAGUGACAAAUUGUUGAGAAAUGGCAGCCAGGCAUCAUGCCUGAAAUCCCAGAACUCAAAAGUUUGAGGGAGAUCUUAAGUUUAAGGCAAACCUGAGCCACAUGGUAAGCUUGAAGUUAGCCUGGCCUUCAAAAGUAGAUCCUGUCACAAAAGAAAUAAUAG